CGCUUCCUGCAGUGUACGAAGGAUUAAUAAUACACUCUAAUCCUGUUAUUUCAUAUAGGGAGCUAGAUCUGAGAGGUGGAUGCCAUGCCGUAAAUCGGAAGGCAAAUCCCUUUUAGAAGGCACCCACUUUUACCUAAAAGAGGUAAAUAGAGUAACUUAGUUUCUCCGGCGCAGGCGGGAAUUAG
rnacentral:other from 1 species